GGCCCCGUCGUCUAAUGGUCAGGACGCUCGUCUUUCAAGCGAGCAGCGCGGGUUCAAUUCCCGCCGGGGUUGCCA
rnacentral:tRNA from 1 species